AAGAGUGCGUAAUAGCUCACUGGUCGAGUGACCCCGCGCCGAAAAUGUACCGGGGCUAAACAUAUUACCGAAACUGUGGAUGAACCUCUUUAGAGGUUCGUGGUAGGAGAGCGUUCUAAGGGCGGUGAAGUCAGACCGGAAGGACUGGUGGAGCGCUUAGAAGUGAGAAUGCCGGUAUGAGUAGCGAAAGAAGGGUGAGAAUCCCUUCCACCGAAUAUCUAAGGUUUCCUGAGGAAGGCUCGUCCGCUCAGGGUUAGUCGGGACCUAAGCCGAGGCCGAUAGGCGUAGGCGAUGGACAACAGGUAGAGAUUCCUGUACCAGUGCUAAUUGUUUAACCGAUGGGGUGACACAGAAGGAUAGGGAAUCGCACGAAUGGAAAUGUGCGUCCAAGCAGUGAGUGUGAGAAGUAGGCAAAUCCGCUUCUCGCGAAGCAUGAGCUGUGAUGGGGAAGGAAAUUAAGUACGGAAGUUCCUGAUUUCACGCUGUCAAGAAAAGCCUCUAGGAAGAGUAGUACUGCCCGUACCGCAAACCGACACAGGUAGAUGAGGAGAGAAUCCUAAGGUGAGCGAGAGAACUCUCGUUAAGGAACUCGGCAAAAUGACCCCGUAACUUCGGGAGAAGGGGUGCUCUAUUAGGGUGCAAGCCCGAGAGAGCCGCAGUGAAUAGGCCCAGGCGACUGUUUAGCAAAAACACAGGUCUCUGCAAAACCGUAAGGUGACGUAUAGGGGCUGACGCCUGCCCGGUGCUGGAAGGUUAAGAGGAGUGCUUAGCUUCGGCGAAGGUACGAAUUGAAGCCCCAGUAAACGGCGGCCGUAACUAUAACGGUCCUAAGGUAGCGAAAUUCCUUGUCGGGUAAGUUCCGACCCGCACGAAAGGCGCAACGAUCUGGGCACUGUCUCAACGAGAGACUCGGUGAAAUUAUAGUACCUGUGAAGAUGCAGGUUACCCGCGACAGGACGGAAAGACCCCGUGGAGCUUUACUGCAACCUGAUAUGGAAUGUUUGUACCGCUUGUACAGGAUAGGUAGGAGCCGAAGAGACGUGUGCGCUAGCAUACGAGGAGGCAAUGGUGGGAUACUACCCUGGCUGUAUGACCAUUCUAACCCGCCACGCUUAGCGCGUGGGGAGACAGUGUCAGGUGGGCAGUUUGACUGGGGCGGUCGCCUCCUAAAGAGUAACGGAGGCGCCCAAAGGUUCCCUCAGAAUGGAUGGAAAUCAUUCGCAGAGUGUAAAGGCACAAGGGAGCUUGACUGCGAGACUGACAAGUCGAGCAGGGACGAAAGUCGGGCUUAGUGAUCCGGUGGUUCCGCAUGGAAGGGCCAUCGCUCAACGGAUAAAAGCUACCCCGGGGAUAACAGGCUUAUCUCCCCCAAGAGUCCACAUCGACGGGGAGGUUUGGCACCUCGAUGUCGGCUCGUCGCAUCCUGGGGCUGUAGUCGGUCCCAAGGGUUGGGCUGUUCGCCCAUUAAAGCGGCACGCGAGCUGGGUUCAGAACGUCGUGAGACAGUUCGGUCCCUAUCCGUCGCGGGCGCAGGAAAUUUGAGAGGAGCUGUCCUUAGUACGAGAGGACCGGGAUGGACACACCGCUGGUGUACCAGUUGUUCCGCCAGGAGCAUCGCUGGGUAGCUAUGUGUGGCAGGGAUAAACGCUGAAAGCAUCUAAGCGUGAAGCCCCCCUCAAGAUGAGAUUUCCCAUUUCUUCGGAAAGUAAGAUCCCUGAAAGAUGAUCAGGUAGAUAGGUUUGGAGUGGAAGUGUAGCGAUACAUGGAGCGGACAAAUACUAAUCGAUCGAGGACUUAACCAAAA
rnacentral:rRNA from 1 species